rnacentral:rRNA from 1 species
GGUUAAGCGACCAAGCGUACACGGUGGAUGCCCUGGCAGUCAGAGGCGAUGAAGGACGUGCUAAUCUGCGAAAAGCGCCGGCGAGGUGAUAUGAACCCUUGACCCGGCGAUGUCCGAAUGGGGAAACCCAGUGUGACUCGUCACACUAUCGUUAGCUGAAUACAUAGGCUAACGAGGCGAACCGGGGGAACUGAAACAUCUAAGUACCCCGAGGAAAAGAAAUCAACCGAGAUUCCCCCAGUAGCGGCGAGCGAACGGGGAGGAGCCCAGAGCCUGAAUCAGCUUGUGUGUUAGUGGAAGCGUCUGGAAAGUCGCACGGUACAGGGUGAAAGUCCCGUACACGAAAACGCACAGGCUGUGAGCUCGAUGAGUAGGGCGGGACACGUGGUAUCCUGUCUGAAUAUGGGGGGACCAUCCUCCAAGGCUAAAUACUCCUGACUGACCGAUAGUGAACCAGUACCGUGAGGGAAAGGCGAAAAGAACCCCGGCGAGGGGAGUGAAAAAGAACCUGAAACCGUGUACGUACAAGCAGUGGGAGCCUCUUUUAUGGGGUGACUGCGUACCUUUUGUAUAAUGGGUCAGCGACUUAUAUUCUGUAGCAAGGUUAACCGUAUAGGGGAGCCGAAGGGAAACCGAGUCUUAACUGGGCGUUAAGUUGCAGGGUAUAGACCCGAAACCCGGUGAUCUAGCCAUGGGCAGGUUGAAGGUUGGGUAACACUAACUGGAGGACCGAACCGACUAAUGUUGAAAAAUUAGCGGAUGACCUGUGGCUGGGGGUGAAAGGCCAAUCAAACCGGGAGAUAGCUGGUUCUCCCCGAAAGCUAUUUAGGUAGCGCCUCGUGAA